GGGAGUAUAGCUCAGUGGUAGAGAGAAUGCUUGACGUGCAUGAGGUCCUGGGUUCAAUUCCCAGUGCCUCCC